rnacentral:rRNA from 1 species
UGGGGAAUAUUGCACAAUGGGGGAAACCCUGAUGCAGCGACGCCGCGUGAGCGAUGAAGGCUUUCGAGUCGUAAAGCUCUGUCCUAUGGGAAGAUAAUGACGGUACCAUAGAAGAAAGCCCCGGCUAAUUACGUGCCAGCAGCCGCGGUAAUACGUAUGUUGCGAGCGUUAUCCGGAAUUAUUGGGCUUAAAGGGCAUCUAGGCGGUAAGACAAGUUGAAGGUGAAAACCUGUGGCUCAACCAUAGGCUUGCCUACAAAACUGUUGAACUAGAGUACUGGAAAGGUGGGUGGAACUACACGAGUAGAGGAGAAAUUCGUAGAUAUGUGUAGGAAUGCCGAUGAUGAAGAUAACUCACUGGACAGAAACUGACGCUGAAGUGCGAAAGCUAGGGGAGCAAACAGG